UUAAACUGCUGUCAGGGGGAAGAAACCUUGCAGGUUAAGAGCUUGCAAGCUGACAUCACCCCCAAAGGAAGCCACGGCUAACUCUGUGC
rnacentral:rRNA from 1 species